GUUGGUUAUCUAACUCGCAGUGGUAGAGCAUCUGCCUUGCAAGCAGAAGGCUUCAGGUUUGAUCCCCAAAGGCAACU